ensembl:lncRNA EOLA2-DT EOLA2 divergent transcript
AGAGGAGGCGGAGCUGGGAGCGGUGAUGAAGGGGUAGCAGGGCGGGGCAGUGGGAAAGAGCUGUGGGAGGAGGAGCUGGGGGCAAGAGUCCAAACUUUCCCGCGGCGACCUAACUGCACCUCCAGUGUCUUCCCCCAGAGGGCACAGAAGCAGCAAGAAGGGCGGGAACACUUGACUGGGGUCCAUGCAGCUCUAGGCUGAGUCUUGCAGGGCUGAGCCCCCCAGGCCUGCUCUCCUGUGUCCUGGCCGCUCCGUCAGUGCCUGCCAGUGGGGUCCAGAGGGACCGUUUUUUUAACGCCUCUUUUGCAGUCUCCCGCAUUGACUUCAUAACCAAGUUCUGGGUCCCUGCCUCUGGAGUGCCUGAUGAGACAAAACGGCUCCUCGUCCUGCAUCCCCGCUGCUACUUCCAGAAUUCAGGCCUCGUGGUCUGGAGCCUGCACUGUUCCAUGAGCCUCCUGAGCAACCUGGAGUCCUCUGUCUUUCUUCCCUCAGAGACCUCGUCCGCACAGGGGCUUGUUCUUCUGUGUCUUUGCAGGGCUGUUUUGGACUCAGUAUUCACCUAAGCACUCCAAAUUGGACCCCCUGGCCGCUGCAGAUGCAUGCUGAUCCUGCAGCUCCUCGAGGGUGUCAUCGCUUUCCCCCUUCCCAGACCCAGCACACCCUGCCUGCAUGGCGCUGCGCUGCACCUUCACUCUGGUCACGGGUCUGGCAGUCAGCUCACCAAUUCCUCCUGCUUCCCUGGGACUUGCCGGCUUUUAGCACUGCAAUUCACUCAGCAAACUGGGACUGUUGGUCACCCUACCUGGCAGCCAGUGAUAAGGUGAGGGCCACUCCUGGGAGGGAGGACACCUGUGGGGAAAAUUCUUGUGUUAUUUAUUUCUCCUUCGGGAUAGGGUGCCUGCAGCGCUUCAUGGGAGGGGGUGGGCUGAUGCUGCGGGCUCAGAAGUUUCAAGGGCAUCUGGGGAGACCAGAUAUUCAGAGACCUUCUAGAUGUGCCUGUUCCAUGUAUCAGGGACGCAGGUUUUCCCAACAGGGCUGGUGUCAUUGGCAUGACAGACCUGCCUUGGCUGAGCGUUCACCUGUCUUUGGAGUUCAGCCACCUUAGCAAGUCCUGGGUUUGUUCUUCAGACUUUGCUGCUCGCCCAUUGCCUGGAUCGGGGGCUACUUUGUAAACCACCAGGAAGACUCCAGUGUUUCUGGUUAAUUUUUAGAUGUUUGUUAAUUGCUCUUGGUCUCUCAUUAAUCCCCUGUGGGUCAUCCAGGAAACAUACUCACCACUGUCUGUUCUCUGAGUUUUCAUUUCCAGGCAUCCGCCCUGCCUGGAUCUCCUCACCUGCCAGGAACUUCCUCUCCACAAGCCGGCCAUCCCAGCAAAAGUUCUAACACCAAAGGUCUGGCAACUAGCCUGCCAUCUUGUGCCUGGAGCCGCCUGCGUGCCACCUACUCCCGAAGAUGGGAACCUUGUUGCCAGUUGGGCAGAUGCGGGGCAAUCCUGUACCAAGACCCCAUUUUACCACCUGCUUUCUCAGACCACUCUGGAACCCACUGUCUCAGAUUGUGUCCUCCAGGAAGCAGACCAUGAGAGGGAGUUGGCAGGGCCAAAGAUUUACUGGGGCUAACUAACACUCAGGAAAGGGAUAGGAAGGAAACAGGGCUGGAGAGCAGGUUGAGCCCGACCUGACAGUCUCGAGCAGCCCAACAGGGAGGUGUGGAGCAAGGGUUGCCCACUAGAGGGGCCUGCAUUGGGUACGGGUGAUGGGGUCCACAUGGUACCUGGCAUAUAGCAGGCUGUGCAAUCCAUAUUAACUGACUGGAUAAAUUAAUGCCCAGAAAAGGUGCCCUGGAGAAUGGGUGUGUGCUGAACACAAUAGGGAAGGGCCCAGCAUCUGCCUUGGCAUAGGCAGAACUGUGCUGUGCCCUGCAACAGGCCACCUGAGAGCUGCUUUGAUCUUGUGUGUACAUUAGAUGACUGCCAGGGGCAUGAAGGGGAUGUGCUUCCAGGGCAUUUGCUGGCAGGGCGUCUCGUGAUCUCUUGGUAUUGGUGUGAGCACAGCCUGGCAGGAGAGGGCAGAUCUCCAUGCAAAGUAUGUCAGAAAGCAGAUGGAAGCCAGGCCCCCUCCUGAAAGAGGCUCCUUGAAGGCUCCUGGGACCACAUUAUCAUUCUCUUCACUCGAGAGAUGAGGACACUGAAAUUCAGAGAGGGGAAGUGAUUUGCCUCAGCUUGUACUAAAGAAACAUUUCAACAGAGAACCCAGUGGAAAUUAUGACAUGUUAUCUUCUCAGAGUCCUGAACUCCCAUCCCUACCUCAGAAGAGACUCCUCUGUUCACAGAAGCUAAAGGCAGUUCCUUCCCAAUGGCAACUAUGUUUGGAUGUUGGAUCUACACUUUCUCAAGCACUGUGAUCUUCAAAUACUGCCAUCCAGGGCCAUGCAGCAAACAAGCAACAGGGAAAUAUCCCACUAUGCAAUCCUAUUUUGAGAUGAUAUUUAGGAUGAGAGAACAUGCAUUAGUUACCUACCAGCUUGACAGGAAUGGAUUUCCAAAUCUGACACACCAUAGCCUGAAUUCUCACCAGUUUGCUCCUGGAAAGGCCCGCUCAUGCAUGAGCCCCUGCCACUCUUCUAAAUAAGCUUCCAGGCAUUACCUGCAUGCUGUGUUCCUGUGGUGGGAUGGCAGUAAUCUCUGCUAAGAUAAACGGGAGCUUCUGUGGAUAAAGCAUAAACGCAGUGAAGUGUGUGUGGCUGGAAGAUUUAAUGCCUCUACAGUGCUUAGAUACAAGUUGAGCUUGGAAUUCCAGAGGUAGAGCACUGCUGAUUGGAGACAUAUUAAGUAAAAUGUACUGUGGAAAUGAGAUAAAACCUUUAUUCUUGCUAAUGAUUGUCAUUGUAUGUAUUCAGGUGUCCAACAAAGGAUUUUAGAAUAAAGUGUGCCUUUAAAGUUUCCCACCUUCUUAAAGCUCCCAAUGAAUUGCAAAGGGCCUGUUUGGAAUGGACUGUAUUAAAUCUACUUCAAAUGAAA